rnacentral:lncRNA from 1 species
AUGCUCUCCCAUCAUUCUCUGCGGCCGUCCCUCUUAGGACGUCAUUGUCCACGUCAAGGCUGUUCUCCGAGGCUCCGCGAUAUGCCAUGUCGAGGCAGCAGGCUGCUUGGAGAAGACCUUGGAGACAUCAGCAGAGAACAGCCUGACGGGGAGGAAGGAGCAGCGGAGGGAGGACUCCAGCCCACUGAAGCAAGUAGUGCGCAGUCCAAUGAUGGCACCAGAGGACGGGAGGGACGGCUCCUCAAGGGAACCAGCAGCAACGUGGGAGGUGGUGAUUCUUGAAGGGAUACCACCUAAAGCAUGUGAGGUGACCAGGCUGGGCAUGUUUCCUGGGCACACGCAUGACCCUCCGUUCAUGUUCCCUGGCUAUACAUGUUCUGGUGUCCACCUGUGGGAGAGGCGGUGGGGAAGGGAAGACCUAUCUUGCAAUUACAUUGUUAUGCUGCCUAAUUAAAUAGCAGCACGAAUGUGCUCUCUGGUUGGCUGGCAGAAGAACCACAUCAUCUUCUGGGUGGCAUUUAUAUAGCACCUUAAGGUUUACAAAUUACUUUACAUAGAUUAUCUCCUUUGAGAUCCCAGGAAUCCAGGAAUAUUAUUAUCCUCUCUUUAGAUGAAGAAAUUGAGUUUGAGAAACUGACUCACCCAGAGCCCAUAGUUAAAUAAGUGUCCGAGGCAGGAUUUGAACCUGGGUCUUCCUGAGUCCAGGUCCAAUGCUCUAUGUUCCAGGUCUAGCACUGUCACCAUGAGUGGGUGUUCAUGACCCACAGUUUUGAGUGGAUACUAAUGCACAGUGUACCUCAAAGCUAUGGUUGCUUUCAGAUGGUACCAUGGUGGAAGGGGUCUGGGGGAAUCACAUGCUUGUCCCUCUAAAGGUGAUAUCUCUAUAAAAGAGAUUUUAACUGAGACUCAAAAAAAGCCAGGAAACAGAGAUAAUAAAUAUUAAUUAAAACUAAAAAUAAUACUAAAU